GAAGGGGGCUAGCGUUGCUCGGAAUUACUGGGCGUAAAGGGAGCGUAGGCGGAUAGUUAAGUCCGGUGUGAAAGAUCAGGGCUCAACCCUGAGAGUGCAUCGGAAACUGGUUAUCUUGAGGACAGGAGAGGAAAGUGGAAUUCCACGUGUAGCGGUGAAAUGCGUAGAUAUGUGGAGGAACACCAGUGGCGAAGGCGACUUUCUGGACUGUAACUGACGCUGAGGCGCGAAAGCGUGGGGAGCAAACAGGAUUAGAUACCCUGGUAGUCCACGCUGUAAACGAUGAGUGCUAGGUGUAGAGGGUAUCGACCCCUUCUGUGCCGCAGUUAACACAAUAAGCACUCCGCCUGGGGAGUACGGCCGCAAGGUUG
rnacentral:rRNA from 1 species